rnacentral:rRNA from 1 species
GAACGCGAAGAACCUUACCCGGGCUUGAACUAACGGUGACAGAUCUAGAGAUAGAUUUUUCUUCGGACACCGUUGGAGGUGGUGCAUGGUUGUCGUCAGCUCGUGUCGUGAGAUGUUGGGUUAAGUCCCGCAACGAGCGCAACCCCUAUUGUUAGUUGCCAUCAUUCAGUUGGGCACUCUAGCGAGACUGCCGGUAAUAAACCGGAGGAAGGUGGGGAUGACGUCAAAUCAUCAUGCCCCUUAUGACCUGGGCUACACACGUGCUACAAUGGUUGGUACAGCGAGUUGCGAGUCGGUGACGGCAAGCUAAUCUCUUAAAGCCAAUCUCAGUUCGGAUUGUAGGCUGCAACUCGCCUACAUGAAGUCGGAAUCGCUAGUAAUCGCGGAUCAGCACGCCGCGGUGAAUACGUUCCCGGGUCUUGUACACACC